AGUGAACGCUGGCGGUAGGCCUAACACAUGCAAGUCGAACGGCAGCACAGUAAGAGCUUGCUCUUACGGGUGGCGAGUGGCGGACGGGUGAGGAAUACAUCGGAAUCUACUUUUUCGUGGGGGAUAACGUAGGGAAACUUACGCUAAUACCGCGUACGACCUACGGGUGAAAGCAGGGGAUCUUCGGACCUUGCGCGAUUGAAUGAGCCGAUGUCGGAUUAGCUAGUUGGCGGGGUAAAGGCCCACCAAGGCGACGAUCCGUAGCUGGUCUGAGAGGAUGAUCAGCCACACUGGAACUGAAACACGGUCCAGACUCCUACGGGAGGCAGCAGUGGGGAAUAUUGGACAAUGGGCGCAAGCCUGAUCCAGCCAUACCGCGUGGGUGAAGAAGGCCUUCGGGUUGUAAAGCCCUUUUGUUGGGAAAGAAAAGCAGCAGGUUAAUACCCCGCUGUUCUGACGGUACCCAAAGAAUAAGCACCGGCUAACUUCGUG
rnacentral:rRNA from 1 species